GGCAUCGUGUCUUGUUACCUCCAUCAGGGCUCUGAAGCAGGCGCCACUAUUACCUCCAUUAAGAGACAUGGAAUCUGAGGUUCAGAGACGCCGAGCGACUUGCUCAAGGUCACACAGCUACUGAAUGGUCCUCUGCAAAAUGAGAGAAUUUUAACAUCAACCAACCUUCCUGUGAGGGUAGUUGGUAGCAACAAUGAGUGACUACCAUGGGUAAAGUCUUCCCAAGCACAAUUGUGUGAUGGCUCUCAGCGGGCAGCCCAGCUCUACAGGCAAACAUCAUUCUUCGUGGUUCUGUUUGAGGAAGACUGACCAGUGUAACCAACAGGAUAUUGCAGAAAUGAUAGUGUGAUUUCUGAGACUACUUCAUAAAGGACACUGCAGCUUCUGCACUUGUUCUAGGCUAGUGGAAGCCAGCUGCCAUGUUGUAAGCACACUCAAGCAACCCUAUGGAGCAUUAUAGGUGGUGAGGAACUGAGGCUUCCUGCCAUCAGCCAGAACCAAUGUUGCAGUGCCAGUCAGGCCAUCAAGUGACCACAGCUCCAUUCUGACAUCCUGACUGCAACCUUAUGAGAGAGCUUAAGCCAGAAUCACCUAGCAAAAUUACUCCUGAAUUCCUGACACACAGAAAGUGUGAGGUAAGAAAAGCUUAUUGUUGUUAUAAGCCACUGAGUUUUGAGGUAAUUUGUUACACAACAACAGA